rnacentral:rRNA from 1 species
AUUGAACGCUGGCGGAAUGCUUUACACAUGCAAGUCGAACGGUAGAGGGGGCAACCCCUUGAGAGUGGCGAACGGGUGAGUAAUAUAUCGGAACGUGCCCAGUCGUGGGGAUAACGUAGCGAAAGUUACGCUAAUACCGCAUACGAUCUAAGGAUGAAAGCGGGGGACUCGCAAGAGCCUCGCGCGAUUGGAGCGGCCGAUAUCAGAUUAGGUAGUUGGUGGGGUAAAGGCUCACCAAGCCAACGAUCUGUAGCUGGUCUGAGAGGACGACCAGCCACACUGGAACUGAGACACGGUCCAGACUCCUACGGGAGGCAGCAGUGGGGGAAUUUUGGACAAUGGACGCAAGUCUGAUCCAGCCAUUCCGCGUGCAGGAUGAAGGCCCUCGGGUUGUAAACUGCUUUGUACGGAACGAAAGGUUCUAUAAUACUAGGAGCUCAUGACGGUACCGUAAGAAUAAGCACCGGCUAACUACGUGCCAG